rnacentral:lncRNA from 1 species
AUGGAAAUUUAUCCAUGGUUCCUUUGGGAGUCUAUGGACCAUUGGUUGAGAAUCCCUUUUCUCAGAUUUCAUUUCCCUGCAAAUGAAAAGGACAUUGACAAACUGGAACAUAUCCAGAAGUAUUAUUCUUCCAGGAUGUUUCUCUUAAGCUCUAUAGAUCCUAUGAUUCUGGCACCCAUUGAGGCAGGGGAAAAAAUCAGGACAACAUCCAUGAACAAUACUUUGAGUGUGGGAUUCUGGAAGAGGAAACUGAAGCAGACAGGACGAAGUAACUUGUCCAGGAUCACACAGCUAGAAAGUAUCUGA